rnacentral:snoRNA from 1 species
CAUUGAUUAUUUCAGUAAAAUCACCAUCUUUCGGCUGAGGUUGCA